rnacentral:ncRNA from 2 species
CAUACCGCAGCGGGAGAGACCGGCCGGGCAACGUUCCGGAUGGCGCCGAAGGAGCAAUCCACCCCGAACACUCUCAGGCAGACGGACCGUUGCGGAUUG